rnacentral:rRNA from 1 species
UACAGAGGGUGCAAGCGUUGUUCGGAUUCAUUGGGCGUAAAGCGCGCGCAGGCGGCCCGGUAAGUCGGAUGUGAAAUCUCACGGCUCAACCGUGAACUGCAUUCGAUACUGUCGGGCUAGAGGCAGGUAGGGGAGAUCGGAAUUCCUGGUGUAGCGGUGAAAUGCGCAGAUAUCAGGAGGAACACCGGUGGCGAAGGCGGCCAGCUGGGCCGUCCCUGACGCUGAGGCGCGA